rnacentral:rRNA from 1 species
CAAUAGCGUAUAUUUAAGUUGUUGCAGUUAAAAAGCUCGUAGUUGGAUUUCUGCUGAUCGCUGUCGGUCUGCCGUCAGGUGUGUACUGGCAGUGUUUGGCAUCUAUUCGAGAUUGGGUGUCCACUUGAUUGUGUGCACUCGAUGUCGGAGCUAAUACUUUGAGAAAAUUAGAGUGUUCCACGCAGGCGCGUGCCUUGAAUACUGCAGCAUGGGAUAUUGGAAGGCCGAUUGAGCUUUCUUGUUGGUUCUCGGUUUGAUCGGAAUGAUUAAUAGGGAUAGUUGGGGGCAUUCGUAUUCAACUGUCAGAGGUGAAAUUCUUGUAUUUGUUGAAGACGGACUACUGCGAAAGCAUCUGCCAUGGAUGUUCUCAUUGA